AACCAGUGAUAGCCUCAAAGUUACAUAAUGAUAUUAAGGCACAUAAAGACCUUGUACAUUUUGAGAGUGCUUAUGUUGUGAAAAUACACAAUGUAGCAAGACUCGCACCAACUCAACCAGUUUUUACCUUCACUCAUCCAAAACACUAUGAUAAAGAAAGCAAUCAGUGCUAUAAAAAGCUGCAGUUUGUGAUACCUAACGACAAAAGUGGUUCUUA